rfam:Schistosoma mattheei strain Denwood, Zambia genome assembly, scaffold: SMTD_scaffold0005754
AUCCAGCUGACACAUCCCAAAAUAGGACGAAACGUGCGUCCUGAAU